GGGUGACGAGUGGCGGACGGGUGAGUAAUGUCUGGGGAUCUGCCCGAUAGAGGGGGAUAACCACUGGAAACGGUGGCUAAUACCGCAUAACGUCGCAAGACCAAAGAGGGGGACCUUCGGGCCUCUCACUAUCGGAUGAACCCAGAUGGGAUUAGCUAGUAGGCGGGGUAAUGGCCCACCUAGGCGACGAUCCCUAGCUGGUCUGAGAGGAUGACCAGCCACACUGGAACUGAGACACGGUCCAGACUCCUACGGGAGGCAGCAGUGGGGAAUAUUGCACAAUGGGCGCAAGCCUGAUGCAGCCAUGCCGCGUGUAUGAAGAAGGCCUUCGGGUUGUAAAGUACUUUCAGCGGGGAGGAAGGCGAUGAGGUUAAUAACCCUGUCGAUUGACGUUACCCGCAGAAGAAGCACCGGCUAACUCCGUGCCAGCAGCCGCGGUAAUACGGAGGGUGCAAGCGUUAAUCGGAAUUACUGGGCGUAAAGCGCACGCAGGCGGUCUGUUAAGUCAGAUGUGAAAUCCCCGGGCUUAACCUGGGAACUGCAUUUGAAACUGGCAGGCUUGAGUCUUGUAGAGGGGGGUAGAAUUCCAGGUGUAGCGGUGAAAUGCGUAGAGAUCUGGAGGAAUACCGGUGGCGAAGGCGGCCCCCUGGACAAAGACUGACGCUCAGGUGCGAAAGCGUGGGGAGCAAACAGGAUUAGAUACCCCUGGUAGUCCACGCCGUAAACGAUGUCGAC
rnacentral:rRNA from 1 species